AGGGAGGCCCCUGUCCAGGUCCCUGUGCCAGCUGGGACUUCAACGUUCUGACCAGCGACCUAAACUGAUGGUUAAUCUCCCCCAGAAGACCUGGCCAGGACCCAGCCUCACUCCCCUUCUACUUCAAAGGCCACCUGAGUCCUAUCGCCCAGACUACCCACCAUCACCCCCCACCCUUUCCCACCUUCUCACAGGACCCUAGCCGCCCCCCCCCCCCGCCUCCCCCUUCCGACACAGGCUCCGCCCCUCCUCUCGCUCCCGCCCCCUCCGCAUGUCCUGCGCAGGCCCGCCCCUCUGUUCGGCCCCGCCCCCUCUGCCGGGUCCUGUGCAGGCUGGCCCGAUGGCUCCCGGUGACCCGCCGGACAUGGUGAACCUGGGCCUGUCCCGGGUGGACGACGCCGUGUCCGCCAAGCACCCGGGACUCCGGGAGUAUGCCGCGUGCCAGUCGAGCGCCUUCGUGAAGGGCAUUUUCACCUUUGUCACAGGUAGGCUGGGUCCC